UCAGACGUCCGUGUGUCCAGCCAUCAAAAGUGACCUGAAAAGCAGCAUUGACAGUGACCAGGUGCUCAGGAAGUUUAUGCUUGUAAGACCCAAUGACUCCCCACCAAGAAUCCUACCAGUUUCCUUGGAACCUUUGCUCAUGACCAUUCAAGAUGAGCAUUACACACUGGCGAAAGAGAUCUGCAUCUGGGGCCUUCAACUGAGCAACCCAGAGAUUGCCAGACUUGCUUUGCUUCUGGAAUUGAAGGGGCACACCACCUGCCCGUUUACCACCCUAGAAAUCAUUGAUUGCAAGAUGGAUCUGUGGUCUCUAGAGCGACUUGGGAAGGCUCUGCGGUUCAGUAGUUUGCAUUCUCUUGUCCUCGAUUACUGCAAAUUUGGAAAUGAAGAACUUGAGAGCAUUUUCUCAGGCCUGGAGAACAACCAAAGGCUUCAAGGCCUCAGUCUGCGUUACUGUGGUCUGGGACCUCAGAGCGGGCUAAGGCUGGGUUCGGUCAUCAGCCAGAGUGCCAUUUGCGAGCUGUUCCUUGAUGGCAAUUACUUGGAAUGUUCCGGAGCACUGGCUCUUCUCAGGCCCAUAGCAGGCUUUGCGGAGACACAGGGGGAAGACCAGCCAGCCCCAGGCUCACCAGACACUGGAAAUCCCCCUCAGCGGCUCCAAGCCAAACAGAGAGGAAGUUCAACUAUGAACCAGAUUACAAAAUCGUCUGAAGCUGUAACAGUGAAAACUACUUCAGGGAAGAAAAAGAGAAAAAAAGGAAUCAAGAAGAAAAUUGAAGGUCUGAUGGAAAGUGGUCCUUGGUUAGUGAAGUUGCAUUAGGCAGAUAAUGGCAUAGAUGGAAAAGGAAGAGAAGGAGAAAAUGGUUUAUUGGAAUUCAUUCAAACUUUAACAUGCCUGAUCAAAUACUCUGCCUACUUAAGGGAAAUUGACCUUGGAAACAAUGUUCUGGGAGAAAUGGCUGCUGCUAACAUACUU
rnacentral:lncRNA from 1 species